rnacentral:lncRNA from 1 species
UUAAAGAGUAAAUAGAAGGUGUUCAGGGUAAAUAAGUGAUAAGUGCCAAAAAAGUGAUAAAAUUACAUAUUCAAUUAAGGUACUUCUUAACUAAUUUUGCAAGUAAUUCAUAUCAAAUUCCUCAUUAUUAUGUAAAUAGUUGUUUUAUCAGUAAAAUGAUCAACUUAUGCUAUUUCUAUCUAAUUCCAACACUUUUUGUAGGUAAAUAUGAAUUUAAUGGAUUGUGGAAUGAAGCAAGCUGUCAAAUAUU